rnacentral:rRNA from 1 species
UACGAAGGGGGCUAGCGUUGCUCGGAAUUACUGGGCGUAAAGCGCACGUAGGCGGCUCUUUAAGUCGGGGGUGAAAUCCUGGAGCUCAACUCCAGAACUGCCUUCGCUACUGAAGAGCUUGAGUCCGGGAGAGGUGAGUGGAACUGCGAGUGUAGAGGUGAAAUUCGUAGAUAUCGUUCGGAACACCGAAAGCGAAGGCAGAGGACUGGGUGCCACCUGACACUGCUAGGACGAAAGCGUGGGGAGCGAAUGGG